UAGGCAUGCGCAUUGCGCGUUGUUUUGUUGCUUUUAGAUUAUAAUUUAUAAAUAGAAAAUAAUUUAUAGAAAAAAUGCCUAAAAGCAAAUCAAGGAAAACUCGUUUAGAAAAUAGUCUGAAGUACGGAGGUCUCCCAUCAGAAAUGCCUUCAGCUGAUCUUCCAACAUUUCGUCAAGUAAUUCAGUUUUUUUAUUUUACUGAAAACAAUAACCAAAUCAUUUCAAAACAGAAUUUACUAGAAGAGGUUGAAAAUUCUCUGAGUAUUCUGUGGAAUAAAGUAAACCCACGUCUUCCUCUUUCUCAGAGAAAUUCAAUCUUAAGAAAAUUACGAAAUCUUUUUGAGUAAAAUCUAUAAACCGAGGACGUUGUAAAUCUAAAAGUAAGGAGUAUCAAGAUUCGAUUUUAGAUAAACUCUUUGAUAUUUCAUCAUGUACUUGUGAGUUAGCAACUGUUUUAUGUAAUGACAGAGAUGUUAAGUGUAGCAUCAUCAAUUGCCAAGUAGAGCACAUCUUGUGUCUUUGUAAAACUAGAAAGGUCCCUUUUGAAGACAGUGCAUAUAUUCGUGACCAGAGAAACAAGAUUGGUCCUAAAGGUAUUUAUCAACUAGGAAAGGCUGAUUUAAAAUCUAGUACAUUUAUUCCGGAAAGGUUAGUUCAAGUAGAGCUUAUAGAUCAUGUUGAAAUACCUUACGCCCAUAACUCAUUGAUUGAUUCUGGUCACAUAUCUGAAGUUUCAGCAUCCGAUCCAGAUGUUUUGGUAUGAUGUCUCAUCUCGUGCUGCAGCUGCACUUGCAAAUGCUCUACUUCUAGAUUGUGGAAUCAUUAAAUAUGGAGAUUUGAAUCAAGUUGUAGAUCGAGCAAAAUUGAGAGAGAGAAGAAGAAAGUAAUGUCAAGAUAUAAUAAUCAACAUGAUAACAAUUUAAGUAACUUGGUGUGUUUGGGUGUUGAUGGUAAAGAUGAUAAAAAUGUUCUUCAGUUUAAGAAUGUCAUUGAAAAUGGAGAAACUCGCUUGUCGCGAGUUACUGAAAAAGAACAUCAGUUAACUUUUACUAAUGAAAAUAGUUUUAAAAAUGGUUUAUAUUUCUCUCAUAAAAAUCUUCCAUCAAAUGGUGCAACUGGUUUGCUUCAAAGUGAAAUUGUAUAUAAUGUUCUGAAAAAGUAUGAUAGUUUAAAUUCAGUACAAGCCCUUCUUCUUGAUAAUACAAAUGUCAAUACAGGUUUCAAAACUGGAAUUGUUGCAUGUUUAGAAAAGAAAUUAGAAAGAAAAAUACACCUUAUCGGUUGUACUUUGCAUCACAAUGAACUUCCAUUUUGAAAAGUAUUCAAAAUAGUUGAUGGCAGUUCAAAGUGUCCAAAUAAAUUUUCAGGACCUAUUGGAAAGCAAGUUUCUAUAUAUUUCCAUCUUAACCCACAAGUGAAGUUUACCAAAAUUGAUACUCCAGUAGAGAUACUAAAUAUUCCCAUUGAAGUGAUAAAUGAUUUAAGCCACGAUCAAAGACUAUUAUUUAAAUAUUGUCUUGAAAUUUCUAAAGGAUUUGUCAAUAACAUAUUUUUUAGAAGAAAAAUUGGUCCACUAAACAACGCAAGAUGGUUGACUUUAGCAAUUCGAGUCAUGGCUUUGUAUACUCGUACUGAAGCACCAAGUCUUGAUCAUGUAAGGCUUGUAAUGUUUAUUGUACAAGUGUAUGCAUACACUUGGUUUCUUAUCAAAAGGUCUUCUAAAUUUAUGGAUUCUCCAAGUAUAUUCUUUAAAAUGACAGAACAGAUAAGAAAGCAAGAUGAAGAAAUACAAAACAUUUGUUUUAAAAAUCUAAAAAAAAAUUCAUAUUGUCUUUUGCCAGAGAACUUUUUAUAUUGUAUGCUUAGAGAUGAAGAAUCUAACAAUAUGGUUGAAGGAUGACGAAAUCGAUGCACUAAUUGUAACUAAAGAAGUUCCGAACUUACCUGAAUUUCCUUCUCACGCGCAGAGCGUAGAACGCGCUGUCGAAUUAGUUACAGAGGCUAGUCACCAAGUAUAUGGCAGUGAAGCUCGUCAUAAAUAUAUUUUAACUAAACUAAAAUCCAGGGAAAUACGACCAUAUUUUGAAACUAAAAACGACUUUGUGGUUUUUUAAUAAUAAAUUUUGUUAUGCAUUUGAUGUUAAUAAAACAUAUUUACAUAAAUGCACUUACUUUUUCAAUGCGAGGAAUAUAAAAGUGUGUUUAGGAUUUAGGACCAAUGCAGUAGUAGGGUAGUGGUAAAGUGUUCGACUCACAUUUGCAAGGUAUUUAUUUUAGAAAUAUUUCGCCUUUGGCUAUUGAAAUCUUGAUAAACACUUAUUUUCGUGAAUUUAAGGUGAUAGUGUUAAAAACAAUAAAAAAAAAAAAAACUAUUUAAAAACAUGUUCGGAUUUUGGUGAUGGUUAUCCAUGGCUUUUUUUAUUACCCGUUUAUUAAGUUGUUAACUGUAAUAAUCACUGUUUUCGAAUAAAAAAUUAAUCACUUUAGGUUUCAUAGAAAUAAUUUUUGAAGGUUUUUGCAAAUAGUGUAAUGCUUCAGCCUUAUCUAAAAUCACGAUUG
rnacentral:lncRNA from 1 species